UACGUAGGGGGCAAGCGUUGUCCGGAAUCAUUGGGCGUAAAGCGAGCGUAGGCGGCCCGAUAAGUCUGCUGUAAAAGUCAACGGCUCAACCGUUGAAAGCCGGUGGAUACUGUCGGGCUAGAGUUCGGAAGAGGCAAGUGGAAUUCCUGGUGUAGCGGUGGAAUGCGCAGAUAUCAGGAGGAACACCAAUUGCGAAGGCAGCUCGCUGGGACGUAACUGACGCUGAGACGCGAAAGCGUGGGGAGCAAACAGG
rnacentral:rRNA from 1 species